AAUCAACGCUGGCGGCGUGCCUAACACAUGCAAGUCGAACGCGACUGGGGCUUCGGCCUCAGUUGAGUGGCGAACGGGUGAGUAACACGUGGGUGACCUACCUUCGAAUGGGGGAUAACGUCCCGAAAGGGACGCUAAUACCGCAUAACAUCCUGCCUUUGAACAGGCGGAGAUCAAAGCCGGGGAUCGCAAGACCUGGCGUUUGAAGAGGGGCCCGCGUCCGAUUAGCUAGUUGGUGAGGUAACGGCUCACCAAGGCGACCGAUCGGUAGCCGGCCUGAGAGGGCGGACGGCCACACUGGGACCUGAGACACGGCCAGACUCCUACGGGAGGCAGCAGU
rnacentral:rRNA from 1 species